AACGUUGGUUGGGAGAUACAGAAGAAUAAGAACAUACAGAAUGAGAAGAGAGAAUAUUUCCACAGCUCCACGGGGUCUUUUCGCAAUUCGCGAUUGGCAAAAGCAUCAUAUUUGCAGGCUACAGCUGUCAGUUUUCAGCAAGGUCAAUUAAACAUGAAAAGAAAGGGAGAGAUAACAGACUUCUGUUCCAAAAGGACCCAAUGACAUUUCAAGAUCCAGAGAAGAGGGUCCUGUACAGCCGUGUUUGAAAACAUUUCCCAGAACUCAGCAUGGUACUAGGAAAAGGGCUGUCAACAGC